rnacentral:rRNA from 1 species
CCUACGGGAGGCAGCAGUAGGGAAUCUUCCACAAUGGGCGAAAGCCUGAUGGAGCAACGCCGCGUGGGUGAUGAAGGUCUUCGGAUCGUAAAACCCUGUUGUUAGAGAAGAAAGUGCGUGAGAGUAACUGUUCACGUUUCGACGGUAUCUAACCAGAAAGCCACGGCUAACUACGUGCCAGCAGCCGCGGUAAUACGUAGGUGGCAAGCGUUAUCCGGAUUUAUUGGGCGUAAAGGGAACGCAGGCGGUCUUUUAAGUCUGAUGUGAAAGCUUUCGGCUUAACCGGAGUAGUGCAUUGGAAACUGGGAGACUUGAGUGCAGAAGAGGAGAGUGGAACUCCAGGUGUAGCGGUGAAAUGCGUAGAUAUAUGGAAGAACACCAGUGGCGAAAGCGGCUCUCUGGUCUGUAACUGACGCUGAGGUUCGAAAGCGUGGGUAGCAAACAGGAUUAGAUACCCUUGUAGUC